UGAAGCGGGAAAAGCUCAAAUUUAAAAUCUGGCGUGCCUUUGGUCGUCCGAGUUGUAGUCUGGAGAAGUGUUUUCUGUGCUGGACCGUGUACAAGUCCCUUGGAACAGGGCGUCAUAGAGGGUGAGAAUCCCGUCUUUGACACGGACUACCAGUGCUCUGUGAUGCGCUCUCAAAGAGUCGAGUUGUUUGGGAAUGCAGCUCAAAAUGGGUGGUAAAUUCCAUCUAAAGCUAAAUACAGGCGAGAGACCGAUAGCGAACAAGUACCGUGAGGGAAAGAUGAAAAGCACUUUGGAAAGAGAGUUAAACAGUACGUGAAAUUGCUGAAAGGGAAACGCUUGAAGUCAGUCGCGUCUGCCAGGACUCAGCCUUGCUUUUGCUUGGUGCACUUUCUGGUUGACGGGCCAGCAUCAAUUUUGAUCGUCAGAAAAAGUUGGGGGGAAUGUGGCACCUUUUUAAGGUGUGUUAUAGCCCUCCUUCGCAUAUGGCGGUUGGGAUUGAGGACCGCAGCACGCCUUUAUGGCCGGGGCUUUGCUCACGUUACGUGCUUAGGAUGCUGGCUUAAUGGCUUUAAGCGACCCGUCUUGAAACACGGACCAAGGAGUCUAACAUGCCUGCGAGUGUUUGAGUGGUAAAACUCGAGCGCGUAAUGAAAGUGAUAGUUGAGACCUCUGUUGCGGAGGGCAUCGACGCCUGGACUUGAUCUACGGAGACGGUUCCACGGUAGAGCAUGUAUGUUGGGACCCGAAAGAUGGUGAACUAUGCCUGAAUAGGGUGAAGCCAGAGGAAACUCUGGUGGAAGCUCGUAGCGAUUCUGACGUGCAAAUCGAUCGUCAAAUUUGGGUAUAGGGGCGAAAGACUAAUCGAACCAUCUAGUAGCUGGUUCCUG
rnacentral:rRNA from 1 species